rnacentral:rRNA from 1 species
AUUGAACUCUGGCGGCAGGCUUAACACAUGCAAGUCGAGCGAGCGGCGGACGGGUGAGUAAUGUCUGGUAAACUGCCUGAUGGAGGGGGAUCACUACUGGAAACGGUCGCUAAUACCGCAUACCCUCAGAUGUGCCCAGAUGGGAUUAGCUAGUGGGUGGGGUAAUGGCUCACCUAGGCGACGAUCCCUAGCUGGUCUGCGAGGAUGACCACCCACACGGGAAGUGAGACACGGUCCAGACUACUACGGGAGGCAGCAGUGGGGAAUAUUGCACAAUGGGCGCAAGCCGGAUGCAGCCAUGCCGCGUGUGUGAAGAAGGCCUUCGGGUUGUAAAGCACUUUCAGCGAGGAGGCGUUACUCGCAGAAGAAGCACCGGCUAACUCCGUGCCAGCAGCCGCGGUAAUAC